rnacentral:rRNA from 1 species
UACGUAGGGGGCUAGCGUUGUCCGGAAUCAUUGGGCGUAAAGAGCGCGUAGGCGGCUAGAUAAGUCCGGUGUGAAAGUCACAGGCUCAACCUGUGAAUGCCGCUGGAAACUGUCUGGCUAGAGUCCGGAAGGGGCGAGUGGAAUUCCUGGUGUAGCGGUGAAAUGCGCAGAUAUCAGGAGGAACACCGGUGGCGAAGGUGGGUCUCUGGGCAACAACUGACGCUGAGGAGCGAAAGCGUGGGGAGCGAACAGG